UGCAAGUCGAGCGGAAGGCUCCUUCGGGGGUACUCGAGCGGCGAACGGGUGAGUAACACGUGAGUAAUCUGCCCUGUGCUCUGGGAUAGCCACCGGAAACGGUGAUUAAUACCGGAUAUGACCACUCCGCGCAUGUGGUGGUGGUGGAAAGUUUUUCGGCGCAGGAUGUGCUCGCGGCCUAUCAGCUUGUUGGUGAGGUAAUGGCUCACCAAGGCUUUGACGGGUAGCCGGCCUGAGAGGGUGACCGGUCACACUGGGACUGAGACACGGCCCAGACUCCUACGGGAGGCAGCAGUGGGGAAUAUUGGACAAUGGGCGGAAGCCUGAUCCAGCAACGCCGCGUGAGGGAUGACGGCCUUCGGGUUGUAAACCUCUUUCAGUACCGACGAAGCGUGAGUGACGGUAGGUACAGAAGAAGGACCGGCCAACUACGUGCCAGCAGCCGCGGUAAUACGUAGGGUCCGAGCGUUGUCCGGAAUUAUUGGGCGUAAAGGGCUCGUAGGCGGUUUGUCGCGUCGGGAGUGAAAACCAUGGGCUUAACUCAUGGCUUGCUUUCGAUACGGGCAGACUAGAGGUAUGCAGGGGAGAAUGGAAUUCCUGGUGUAGCGGUGAAAUGCGCAGAUAUCAGGAGGAACACCGGUGGCGAAGGCGGUUCUCUGGGCAUUACCUGACGCUGAGGAGCGAAAGUGUGGGGAGCGAACAGGAUUAGAUACCCUGGUAGUCCACACCGUAAACGUUGGGC
rnacentral:rRNA from 1 species